CGAUACUACUAAGUCAACGCGCUGCUCAGUCAUACAAAGCAGCAGUAUUGAUUGAGUAUGCAAUAGUUGGCGUUCAACGCAAGCCAGUCUCUGGUAGGGCUAACUUGAAACCAUGCACCAUUGGCGACAGAAUUGAGAUAUUGAAAACGGUACAACGUAAAUAAUUGUAGAUUUUUUGUUGCAUAUUUGUUGUGGAAAGAAAAAAAUUGUAGUCUCGUUUUUUAAGAAAAAAUGGUAUGUAGUGCUAUUUUGACUCCUUACACGUAGUCGAUAGAAUUAAGAUAUCCUUUAUGUCACUAUGCCAUUAAUUAUGGGCUACAUUCUGCACCCCGUCGGGAAAAGUCCCGAUUUCCGAAUUAAGUUCCGAAGAAAAAAUUGUUUGCAUUCCAUUCUCCGACGGAGAUGUAUAAGUUGUUCGAAUUUUCGAAGUUAUUUGUCAUUUACAUCUUUCAAGUGACAGCUUAUUUUGAAAAUAGAAAGCAGUUGCAAGAAUGAGUUAUUUUAAGAAAAAAGCAAAGAAAACGUUGUAGCAAUAAAAAAAAUGCUAAAAAUUAUGGAAUUCAUUGCUGCUGGUAUUUUAUUAAUCGAAGAAGAUGAAUAUUCAAGGAGUAACGCAGAAAAUAUAAAACGACAACUUAGAGACGCCUGCGAUCCCUUUCAGUUGAAUGUUAAGGCGUAAGUGUAAGACAGAUAUCAACAUUUAAAAAUUACAAUUAGGUUUCUUUCAGAUUUAAAAAGAACUUUCCGACAAGCAAAGAUUCCUUUAAAUAUUUGCUAAGAAUAUUGGAUCAAGAGUUCGGUGGCCCGACAAAGAGUUCAUCAAUAACGAGUCUGAGCCGCUUGGUAGCUUUCUUAAGGUUUUUUGCAGAAGGAGGCUACCAACACGGAGUUGGUAAGGACUAUGAUGUCGGAAUGACGCAGCCCACAGUAUCGAAGACAAUAUCGCUGCUAUUAAAUGUUUUUGAAAGGAAGGUUUGCCAAAUCUUGAUAAAUUUUAUUAUGGACGAGUCGGAAGUAGUAGAAGCAAAACAAGAUUUUUACUCAAAGGCAAUGUUUCCAGGAGUAGUAAUGUGUAAUGACGGUACUCACGUUAAAUUAACAGCACCUUCGCCGGAGACGUUUCUAUUUUUCAACCGAAAAGGCUGUUAUAGUCUUAUGGCCUUAUUCAUAAAAAAUAAAAUAGGUUCAAAGAGCUCUCUAAAGUGACAUUUCCAUACAAAAUUUCGAUUUAUAAAGCAGUUAAAGUGUUCUUUAUUUUUUAUGAAUUUGUGUAUUAAUGUAAUGAUAGUAAGUUUGAUAUAAUUAUGUAUAUACAAAGUAGAUAUGUAUGUAUGUAACUUUUGAACGUAACGUUUUAAUUUAUUUUAGAUAUGCGACCAUAAGUUGAGAAUAAGAGCAGUAGAUGCACGGUAUCCAGGACGUAACCAUGAUAGCCAUAUUUGGAAGUUAAGCGGCAAUUUAGAGAAGGAAAUACUAACACGUGGCUUCUUGGCGAUGCCGGCUACCCACUCGAACCUAGGCUUAUGACCCCUUAUAGAAGUGCAGCUGCAGAGUCGCCAGAAAGAAUUUUCAAUGAUUACCAUUCAAAAACACGAAGUGUGGUAGAAAGAAUAAUUGGUGUGUGGAAAAGCCGAUUCCGAUGUGUUUUGGGGGAACGAGCUUUAAAUUAUGUUCCUCUAAAGGCCUGCCAAAUUGUAAACGUGGCUUGUGCUCUCCACAACAUAUGUAUUCACUUCCGCGAUGACCAAUUUGAACCGUUGCCUGAGAGAGAUGAUGUGGAAGAAAUUGAGCCCGAUUAUGACCCGGAAUUUGAGAAUCUUCGGAGUGAUGCUGAACGAACACGCCAAAGAAUUCUUGCAACUUUUGCGUUGUGAGUGUAACCAAACCAUUAGAAAAGCUUUAAAUGUACAUAGUAUUUACCUAGAAUAUAUCUUAUCUGGAAAUAAAUGAAAACUUGUGUCCUUACUUCAA